AAAUUGAAGAGUUUGAUCAUGGCUCAGAUUGAACGCUGGCGGCAGGCCUAACACAUGCAAGUCGAACGGUAACAGGAAGCAGCUUGCUGCUUCGCUGACGAGUGGCGGACGGGUGAGUAAUGUCUGGGAAACUGCCUGAUGGAGGGGGAUAACUACUGGAAACGGUGGCUAAUACCGCAUAACGUCGCAAGACCAAAGAGGGGGACCUUCGGGCCUCUUGCCAUCAGAUGUGCCCAGAUGGGAUUAGCUAGUUGGUGAGGUAAUGGCUCACCAAGGCGACGAUCCCUAGCUGGUCUGAGAGGAUGACCAGCCACACUGGAACUGAGACACGGUCCAGACUCCUACGGGAGGCAGCAGUGGGGAAUAUUGCACAAUGGGCGCAAGCCUGAUGCAGCCAUGCCGCGUGUAUGAAGAAGGCCUUCGGGUUGUAAAGUACUUUCAGCGGGGAGGAAGGUGUUG
rnacentral:rRNA from 3 species